AUGGCCUUAGAUCUGAAAAGGAUAUUGACCAUGUGUGGAAAAGUCUCACUUAGCCCAGGAAGAGCGUUAGACAUCAGUAAAGACGCUUUUAUUAUCCUAAAAUGGACAACCGAAAUCUGUCAUCGCAAAGUCUAUGGAACAUUUCAAAGUCUGGUUUCAUUGAAAGCAGCAGGAAUUCAGGUCUCUGAGCUGCAUUCCGGCUGUCAAAAGGAGGCCGUGGAACAUUUAACAGGCAAUUAAACAGUCACUCAUAUUAUUUAUGAUCUGACUUUGCUCUGGGCACUACACAAACUUCAGUAUGAGCAUGUGUGACAAGUACAAAGUGGAGUCUUAGAAACUGAUAGGUGAUAAAUAGCUACAGUUGAAGCUUCUCUUGGUAUGUUACAGUGUCUCUGCAGAUAAUAUCUUCACAAUUGAAUGCAUACAACUUAUAUUAAUAUGUAUAUUAUCCCAAGUUUCCUCAGAUCAGAGCAGUGUUUUCUAUGCAUGUAUAAUUUGUGGAUGUCAUGUUUAUGCAUUUUAAAUUAGUUACACAAUUUCUGGCCACUUGUAAAGGUGUUAUGUAAUCAGAGGAUCUUUGGAUUUACUGUUUUAUGCCGUUCUGUAGACAUGUAUUACUAUGAUCAACAAAAAUACAUUCACCCGACCUUUUAGGUGGCACAAAUCCCAAAGCUCGCACUUAACACAGACCGAAUCCGGCGCACACAUAUUUAUAAACUUCCGAGACUUGCAUUUCUGGCAAAAAAUGAAUUGGAAGUGUUCCUCCCAAUCAAUCCAUUCUUUGUAUUGUGGGGGUUGUGGGAAUUCUUGCCUUUUGCAUGACUCAAGGCCGCUGUCCUCAGAGUUGGACAUCUUCUAGAACAUUCCAGACAAGCCUAGAAGUUUACUGCUCUCCGAUUUCUGUCUGUGGUUUGGCAUAGCUGUUCGUAAAUUACUAUCGGAAGUCUGCACGCUUGUUUUGCUUUGAGAGAGAGUUCAAGGAACGUUUUGUACCCAAUUAAAAUGUAAAUACUAAAAGAUGUAACAUUUUGGCUUCUGCCUCUUUUAUGGGAGGUCUUGUUUUGUUUUCAAAUAAUAGAGGUGGAAUGCCCUGACACUGUGGAAACCUCUUAUUAAAGUGUCUUAUGUAACACAUCCUAAAUAUAACACAUACAUUUACACCCUAAAUUGAACAUUUUAAUGUAAAUGAAAUGCCCAUAAUUGGAUAAAAUGUAAGUGAUUAACAAUAAUAAAUAAAUACAUUUAAUUAACCCUUUAGUGUUU
ensembl:lncRNA